rnacentral:misc_RNA from 1 species
GGCGCAUUGUGACACAACUAAUGACGUGCAUGGAUGAGUCACAUAGACUUGUAAAACCCGAUGAUGCAAAGGGAACUGCUCUACCCACUGAUAAAAGAAAUAAUGAAGCAAAAUCAGAUGGAUCUAAUGGUGGACCUGGUUAUGUCCUAGUAAUUGGGGCGACAAAUAGACCUGAUGCUAUUGACCCAGCAUUGAGGAGGCCUGGACGAUUCGACCGUGAAAUCGCCUUGGGUAUUCCAGAUGAAAAUGCAAGGGUGCAAAUUUUGUCUGUGCUUACACGUAACCUAAGAGUUGAAGGUGCAUUUGAUCUCACGAAGAUAGCUAGUUCAACCCCAGGAUUUGUCGGAGCAGACUUGGCUGCUUUAACUAACAAGGCAGGUAACUUGGCAAUGAAGAGGAUAAUAGAUGAGAGGAAGGUUGAGCUUUCAAGAGAAUUGUCAGAUGGUGAAGAUGCCGAAGAAUGGUGGAGAAAGCCAUGGUCACCUGAAGAGAUGGAAAAGCUCAGCAUUUUUAUGGCUGAUUUUGAGGAAGCAGCUAAAUUGAUUCAACCUUCAUCUCGAAGAGAAGGUUUCUCCGCUAUCCCUAAUGUUAAGUGGGAAGAUGUUGGGGGCCUUGAUUCGUUAAGACAUGACUUUGACCGUUACAUUGUCAGGCGUAUAAAGAAUCCUAAAGAUUACAUGGGUUUUGGAGUGGACUUGGAAACAGGAUUCUUGCUUUAUGGUCCCCCGGGAUGCGGUAAAACAUUAAUUGCCAAGGCUGUUGCUAAUGAAGCUGGAGCAAAUUUUAUACACAUCAAGGGACCUGAAAUUUUGAACAAGUAUGUUGGUGAAAGUGAGCUAACCAUUCGGACAUUAUUUACCCGUGCAAGGACAUGUGCUCCAUGCAUUCUAUUCUUCGAUGAGAUGGAUGCAUUGACAACUAAGCGUGGUAAGGAAGGAGGUUGGGUCGUUGAAAGACUUCUGAAUCAGCUACUAAUAGAACUAGACGGUGCCGAUCAGAGAAAAGGUGUUUAUGUGAUUGGUGCCACAAAUAGGCCUGAAGUCAUGGACCAAGCUAUUCUUCGACCUGGAAGGUUAGGGAGACUCUUAUAUGUCCCUCUACCUAGUCCAGAUGAGCGUGUACUCAUUUUAAAAGCUCUUGCCCGGAAGAAGCCUGUAGAUUCUAGUGUUGACUUGAUGACCAUUGGAAGAGAUGAUGCCUGUAAAAAUUUUAGUGGAGCUGACCUAGCAGCACUGAUGAAUGAAGCUGCAAUGGUUGCACUAGAAGAUAAAUUGACAGCGAUGGCUACAAGUUGUGAUGACACAUCAUCGGUUAUUAAGGAGUCACAUUUCAAAUGCGCUUUGGAAAAAGUAUCUCCAUCCGUCUCCAAUGAGCAAAUAAAAUACUAUCAGGAGUUAUCAAAACACUUCAGAGCAGCAUGAAAACCUUGGUGAAGGGAGAAAGUUGCACGAAACAUAUUUUGGAUAUCGAUGUUUCUUCUUGUUAAUAUCCAUGAGUAUAGUUCCGCGGGAGCAAACAGAGUGGAG